rnacentral:rRNA from 3 species
UGGGUGGUAUAUUUCAUCUAAAGCUAAAUAUUGGCCAGAGACCGAUAGCGCACAAGUAGAGUGAUCGAAAGAUGAAAAGCACUUUGGAAAGAGAGUUAAACAGUACGUGAAAUUGUUGAAAGGGAAGCGCUUGCAAUCAGACUUGCACUUGGUGUUCAUCGGGGUUUCUACCCCGUGUACUUCAUCAAGUUCAGGCCAGCAUCAGUUUGGGUGGUUAGAUAAAGGCUUAGAGAAUGUGGCCCUCUUCGGGGGGUGUUAUAGCUCUAGGUGCAAUGUAGCCUACCUGGACUGAGGACCGCGCUUCGGCUAGGAUGCUGG